AACGAACGCUGGCGGCAUGCCUAACACAUGCAAGUCGAACGAGACCUUCGGGUCUAGUGGCGCACGGGUGCGUAACGCGUGGGAACCUGCCCUUAGGUUCGGAAUAACUCCCCGAAAGGGGUGCUAAUACCGGAUAAUGUCUUCGGACCAAAGAUUUAUCGCCUUUGGAUGGGCCCGCGUUGGAUUAGCUAGUUGGUAGGGUAAAAGCCUACCAAGGCGACGAUCCAUAGCCGGUCUGAGAGGAUGAUCAGCCACACUGGGACUGAGACACGGCCCAGACUCCUACGGAAGGCAGCAGUGGGGAAUAUUGGACAAUGGGCGAAAGCCUGAUCCAGCAAUGCCGCGUGAGUGAUGAAGGCCUUAGGGUUGUAAAGCUCUUUUACCCGGGAUGAUAAUGACAGUACCGGGAGAAUAAGCUCCGGCUAACUCCGUG
rnacentral:rRNA from 1 species